rnacentral:rRNA from 1 species
GUGCCCCCGCCGCGGUAAUACCGGCAGCUCAAGUGGUCGUCGUUUUUAUUGGGCCUAAAACGUCCGUACCCUGUUUGGUAAAUCUGUGGGUAAAUCAACCCCCUUAACUGGUUGAAUUCUGCAAAGACUGCCAUACUAGGGACCGGGAGAGGUGUGGGGUACUCUAGGGGUAGGGGUAAAAUCCUGUCAUCCUUAAAGGACCACCAGUUGCGAAGGCGCCACACUGGAACGGAUCCCACGGUCAGGGACGAACCCUAGGGGCACGAACCGGAUUAGAUACCCGGGUAGUCCUAGGUGAAAACGCUGUGAACUUGGUGUCGGGAGUCCGCAAUGGGCCCCCGGUGCCGGAGUGAAGAUGUUAACUUCGCUGGCUGAGGAGUGCGGUCGCGAGGAUGAAACUUAAAGGAAUAGGCGGGGGAGCACUGCAACGGGAGGAGCGUGCGGUUUAAUUGGAUUCAACGCCGGAAAACUCACCAGGGCCGACUGUUAUAUGAAGACCAGCGUACUGAGCUUGUCGGAUUUUCAGAGAGGUGGUGCAUGGCCGUCGUCAGUUCCUACUGUAAAGCGUUCUGUUAAGUCAGAUAACGAACGAGACCCUCAUCUCUAUUUGCUACCCGUCUCUCCGGAGACGGCGCACUAUAGGGAGACCCGCUGGUGUUAAACCAGAGGAAGGCGAGGGCAACGACAGGUCAGUAUGCCCCGAAUGUCCUGGGCUACACGCGCGCAACAAAGGACGGGACAAUGGGAAGCUAGGCCGAGAGGCCACGCUAACCCGAAACCCGUUCAUAGUUCGGAUUGAGGGCUGUAACUCGAAACUCACGAAGCUGGAUUCCGUAGUAAUCGUGUUUCAAUAUAGCACGGUGAAUAUGCCCCUGCUCCCUCCACCCCCCGCCCGUC